AUGGCCGCACUAAAUAUGUUCUCGAUUUUGGCCAUUUUGCUUUUGGCGAGCCCAUCAAGAAUGAUUUUCACAAGUUUUGCAAUUCCAACUUUAGAGGAAUCUAAUUCGAAAACCUUGGAUGAAUGUAAAAAAACAUAUAUCCAUUAAUUGCGCUUGAGAAGUUGGUGGAAGCAUUUUUGAAGGUGGGAUUGUAACUGAUGGUUGUUGUUAUGAACUUGUAUAUGUAGGCAAAAGUUGUCAUGAUCCGUUCUUCAACUCUGUUCUUACUCCAAACCCAUUGUCAAUCUAGAGCUUUAGCAGAGAGUACACAAGUUUGAGACCAAUGUGUUGAAAUUAUAGUUUCUCCCGCACCUUCUAUCGCAAUUCCAACCUCAAAGGCAUUAAAUUCAAAGACCUUGGUUGAAUGCAAACAUAUCUCCAUUAAUUGCGCUUGGCAAGUAGGUGGAACUAUUUUUGAAGGUGGAAUGAUAACAAGUGAUUGUUGCGAUGAUCUUCUAUUUGUAGGAAAAAACAUGCCA
rnacentral:lncRNA from 1 species